UUAUUUUUGUAAAAUUCUAUUUUAAAAAGUAAGCUGAGAUUAUGUUACUGUUUAUGAUAUAUAUAUAUAUAUAUAAAAUAGGGUUUGUAACUUUGUAUACAGUAUAUGUUUGAAUGUAUACAGUCAAAGUAGUUACCUUCUUUCCUUAAGUGUGGAAACAUGAGGUUGUAGUAGUAAUCCUUUCCUGGUUUUAGCCCUGACCCUGAUAGUUAGCUUCUGCAUCUGAUCCCAGACUUUAAAAUUUCUUGGAACUGUUUUCAACCCAUCAAACAGUUGGCAGGCGGGAAACUCUGGAGUGUCAUGCAAUCUACUUCAGUUAAAUGCUCCGACCGCUUGGGUAGUUGAUGGUUAUCGGGGUCCCACUGUUUAGGGAAUGGUUCUGUUUCUGUGGGGACAAAGGAGGAUGUGGGAUGUAGAGCACUUGGCAGUGUUGGGGCAAAGUGGUGGGUUGGGGAAGAAAGAGGAGGUGUCUGUGUCAUUAAGUUUUCAGCUUCCUUAUUGAAUGCCUCUCCUGUCAGGCAUCCUCUCCGGUUGCCUAUGAUCGAAAGGGUCAAAUACCUCUGCCAUCACCAAGCUUAGGGGUGCUUGCUGCGAGGGCUAGGCAUUGUGUAGAACACUUGACACACAGCAACUCGUGUCGUGUUCUAAUGAUCCUGAGAAGUAGGUAUUAUCACGAUUCCCGUGUAUGUAGGUGAGUAAAUGGAGGCACAGAGGCCGAAUUAACUCGCCUGAGGCCACGUGACUAGGAGAUGAGCUCCAGGAGACUGAGAAUGAGGAUGACAAAGCCUGCAUGGAGGAGAUCUCCUGUCAGACAUGAUGUUAGGUGGGGGACGAACAAGCAUGAAUUUUCCUAAGCCGCUUGGAAUUCACUGUUUGCUAGGCAGUAGAGCAUUAGGCCUUUGUGUUCACAGACUUUGGGGUGGAGGGACAUAGAAGAUGAGCAGUUAUUGUAUGUGCUGCAAUUGAGGUGUGUGCCCAGGUUAGAGGGAUGUGGUUGGAAGCUCCAAGUGAAAGAGUCCUGGAAGGAUUUUAGUAGCCAUGUGUCCUCUAGUGGGCACCCUAUGCCCCAGUGUGCUGGGAUAGCCCUAGUUUUUCUUGGCAUCCUAGCAUCAGUGUUAAUGAUGUCCUUUCUUUCUCUGAGUGUCUUAGUUUGGACAGUAAGUUAUGUAGUCACACUGUAUGACUGGAAGCAUCGUUUUUAGACCUGUAAUUCCCCUUUCUACACACUGGCUGGCUCCACACUUUCUCUUCAAGCUGUGGAACCUGUAGUCAAACAAACAAAAAAAGUGACGUUAUUAAUUUUUGCCAAGAGGAGUUCCCGUUGUGGCUCAGCAGUUAAUGAACCCGACUAGCAUCCAUGAGGAUUCAGGGAUUGAACUCGAAACCUCAUGAUUCCUAGUUGGAUUCGUUUCCACUGUGCCAUGAAGCUGUUACUCUUAGGUGGAAUUUAUUUUUGCCCCAAAUCUAGACAAUGGAUCGCUCCAGGUUCUAAUAUGUCUCAUUUCAGACAGCUUGUCCAGUUUUCAAUUGAAGAUAUUCUUCUUGUUCCACUUACUUCUGCUUAAGAGUCUUCCUAGAGCUAAGGAUAUUCACGGAGAAUCUAGUCCUUAAUUGACCCUUGUUUCAGUGCUGUCUUCUGUCCAGGGAAUCUUGCUGAAAAAUAGGGAGCAGGAAAAGAAGUCUCCUAGAUCCUCAUUAAAUAGCAGAACUGUCAGAGUUCCCUUCGUGGUGCAGCAGUUAACGAACCGGACAAGGAUCCAUGAGGAUGCAGGUUCGAUCCCUGGCCUUGCUCAGUGGGUUAAGGAUUCAGCAGUGAGCUGUGAUGUAGGUCUCAGAUGUGGCUCUGAUCUGUGUUGCUCUGGCUGUGGUGUAGUCCAGCAGUUGUAGCUUUAAUUCAACCCCUAUGCCGUGGGCGUGGCCCUAAAAAGCAAGUAAAUAAAUAAAUAGCAGAACUGUGAAGCAAGUUAUUCUGAUAAUGUUUCUGAUUCAUGUGGGGAUGGUUCUCCUGCAUUCUGAUCCCUUUUGCUUAGGGAUUCAUUCCCAUUUCCUUAUAUAACCCAUACUAUAAAAUUUAGAGGUUUCUUACAAAACCUACAAGGUUCCUCCAGCUUAAUGACUUUUAGUCUCUUGCCCUAGAUCCUGAGUUAGUGGGCUUGUCUGUGGAGACACUGCUGGAAUCAUCCAGCACUGUGUAGGCCACUGCCUUAGCGCUACAGCACCUGUUCCUCAGGUCAGACAGUGGAGAGGUUUGUGUGCGUCAAGGAGAACCUGCUGCCAACAUCUCUAAAUGCCUUUAGCUGCCCUGCGGUCCAGAGGGCUGGUCAGGCUGCGUGUGGCCAUCAUGUUUGGUUUCUGCUCUUUCGUGUACUUAAUUAAUUCAGCUCCACUUGUAUUGCAUUUGACCUCGGACACUCGGGUUUCUCUCUCACUUAGCCCUCUUCCUCCCUUUGAUGAGGUAUAACAUACUACAAAGUCCAUCCAUUUGAGCUGUGCAAGUCAGUUUUAGUCUGUUUUCAGAGCCGUGCGGAUAUUACCAUGCUCCAAUUCAAGAACGCUUCCAUCACCCUGGACAGCUCCCCUAUGCCCAGCUGACCCACUCCCUAUCCCUUCCCCAGCGCCCAGCAGCUGCUUCUUUACUUUCUGUACACUUCGUAUACGUGGAGUCCUGUACUCUGUGACCUUUUGUGUAUGGCUUCUUUCUCUGAGCAUUGUGUUUUCAAGGUUCAUUCACGCUGUAGAAUAUGUCAGUAUCCCAUCUCUUUUGGUGGUGAGUAGUAGUCCACUGUGUAGGGACUACAUUUUGUUUGUCCUUUCAACUUGAUGGCUAUUUUGAAUGAUGCUAAUAUGAGCAUCCACAUAAAAAUCUUGGUGGAGACAUCCAUUUUCAUUUCUCUUGGGUGGAUUCCUAGGAGUGAAAUUGCUGGGCUGUGUGGUAGGUUUAUUUUUAAAAAUUUUUUUUGGUCCCCACCUGCAGCAUAUGGAAGUUCCCAGGCUAGGCUAAAGGUUGAAUUGGAGCUGUAGCUGCUGGCUGACACCACAGCCAUAGCAAUGCCAGAUCUGAGCUGCGUCCUCAUGGACACUAGUCAGGUUCGUUAACACUGAGCCAUGACAGGAACUCCAGGUUUAUAUUUAACUUUGUAAGAAAUUGAGAGUUCCCUGGUGGCUCAGCAGAUAUCCAACGUUAUUGCUGUGGGUCUGUUUACUGCUGUAGCAUGGGUUUAAUCCCUGCCCUGGAAACUUCUGCAUACCACAGGUGCAGCCAAAAAGAAAGAAAUUGCCACAUUUUCUAGAGUGGCUGUACCAUUUUCUGUUUCCACCAAUAAUGUAUGAAGUUCUGGUUUCUUCACAUCCUCACUGAUGCCCCCCCCCCCUUUUUAAAUGGCCGUCUUAGUAGGUAUGUAUCUCCCCCCCACCUCAAAUGGCUGCACCCAUGGCAUUUUGAAGUUCCUGGGCCAGGGAUUGAAUCUGAGCUGCAGCUGUGGUCUGCGCCAUAGCUGAUGGCAGCACUGGAUCCUUAACCCACUGUGCCACAGUGUCAAGUCCUAUGUCUUGUUUUAACGUGCACUUUCGUAGUGACUAGCAACAUGGAACAUCUGUUCUUGUACUUUUUGGUCAUUUUUCCAUCUUUGGGGAAAUUAUUCAGAUCUUUUCUCCAGUUUUUAAAUUAAGUUGUUGGUGUUCUUAUUCUUGAGUUGUAAGUUUUCAUUAUAUGGUUUAGAUACAGGUCCUCUAUCAGAAAUGAUUUUCAAGUAUCUUUUCAUAUCCUUUAAAGACAUCUCUUUUAGAAAACUCUUGGCUCACUCCGGGCCCGGAAAUGAGGGAGGUUCACAGUGGCCUUCUGCCCCUCUCCAGCCUGUCUUUGGUGAGACAACAGAUUGUGUAGGUUUCCAGGGCUAAGGUAGAUUUUCUUCUCUGCAUUAAACCAAACCUCAGUUUUCCCUCUGUCUUUCUACUUUGCCCCUGCUCCCCCCCCUUUAAAAGGAAUUAAAAUUUUAGGCUGUUCUUGGUAUGUGCUUUAUUUUGAGCUCUGAGCAAAUCUGUUCUGAAAGGAACUCUUUGAUUUAGUCUACUAACAUUUUGGGAAAUUGAUAAAGCUCCUUGCUGUUACAGUUUAAACUUCUUAAUCCUUGUUAGGCCUUUGUGCAUCUUUUCCUCUGCGCAUACACCCUGUACUGAGUUGCCACUGGUAUUCUCUAUCUUAGGGUUUCCCCCUCUUUUUUGGUUGUGGAAUGGAAAUUGUUACUGAUAGCCAUGUCCUUCAUGGCUGCUACCUUGGAAAGUUAAUCCCCAGGUGAUUUUGUGUUUAUGGAUAUUACUGCUGAUAAUUACACAGCAACAAAUAGGAAAUAAUAAAAAAAAA